UUAAAAGCUGUUAAGAAUGAGGAGGAUUUCAAGCAAAAGCUUUGCGAGGACUUGAAUAAUCUGGUUCGUGAAAGUAGCAACACUCAGCUGGUUAGAUUGGAGGAACUGAAAAGGAAGCUGGAAGCUUUAAAUCCGAGCAGAGCAUCCACAUCUUCUGCCUUGGAUCUGAAUUCCGUGGGACCUGCACCGAGCAGUAUGAAUCGAGAUGUUCCCUCAGUUCAAGGUUCACAGGAAUCAUUAAAUGGAUCAUCUGAAACUACAUUUAAAGAAGGAAACACUGGAAACACUGCAGCAGAAAAUGGACAAAACCAACAACGUGAAGCAAGAGGGAAGAAGAAAAUUAAUGCCCAAGGAAGAGGGAAGGGAAUUGGCAUAAUACCUAAAAGUAGAGGUGCAGCACCACCUGGUUGGACAGGGGCUGGGUUUGAUGUGGAUGG
rnacentral:misc_RNA from 1 species